AUGUGGUGCUACGCACGGAGGUGGCCUGACGAUCUGCUGUCACGGUGGUGAAUCGCGCGUCACCCGGCGGCUGCGCUCCGGCCCGCGUUUGACGUCGGACGAUCUUUGGAAUCGGCCUUCGGAAAGGCAAAGGAACGGCCAUGGGUCCUCGACCGACCUGAGUGCUCUAACAUGUUGCUGUCCGUAGUUUUAGACCUCUCACGGCGCCUCACGGACGCCCCCUGAAGUCGCCACCAUACGGGACUUUUCUCCUCGUGUCACGGGCCUAGUGCUACCCGUCCCGUCUCGUCACCCUCUCGAUGGGGUGGUCGACAGGGUUUCUGGGGGCGCUGCACCCCGCCGCAAGUGGCAUGUUUCUGGCUUCGUCGAGGCCGCUGCACGACCCUGCACGUCGACUGAG
rnacentral:misc_RNA from 1 species